UCAUCCCAGCAUCACUCCAUGGCAUCACCCCAACUUGCUUGCCAAGUAAGCAAGGUUUGGGACAGCAGCUCCUAGCAGGGCUGUAUAAGCUUUCAGACACCGAUAAUCGAUUGUUAAUCACCACCUUCCAUCUGGUUUCCGAACCAGAUGACAAUGAGUUAUGUGGGGAGUCUGUUCUGGAAACAAUUUGUCUUUUCUCCAAACCUGCUGUGAGUUCAGAAAUCCCACAUCAUGCUGCAGCAGAAAUGGGGUAUAGUGGUACGUUAGCGACCCCUGAUUCAGGGAGCACAGGGGCUGCAUAAAGUGCACACGCUGCAGCCUCCCUAUUUCUUUGGAGUCUGGGAUUGAAACUUGACCCAAAAGGCCACACACUGCCAUACAGGCAGGUGCUAGGUUCACCCACUGAUUAUGUCAAAUCCUGAAUUGUUUUCACAAUGGGCUUUAAUUACAAAGAAAGUAGGCGACACGUUUCUCACUGGAGAGCCACAAGCUGUCCCCACUAGUUUGGCAAACAGCGCUCGCUCCGAUCACACCGGUGAUCUCAACUCUGCCAUCCAGGCUGCACACACAGCUUUUCAGCAUCUUGCUGUAUCAGUACUGAAAUUUGUGUGCUGUACCAGUACUGAAAUUUGUGCUCCCCUAUCUAUUAGAAAUUUUACUGAAUGCUUUUGAGGACAGACUUCAAUCAAAAUAUGCAUGCCAUUGUUGCUCAUCCUUUGAUCAAACUCCCCUUGCCGGACAGGCAGAUCCAAUCACCUGCUUGUAAUUAGUCUUUUUUGUUGUUGUUGUUUACAGUCUGAAGCAGUGAUUGAGCACCUGGUGAGGGGUGUGGCCAGCCCUGCCAGCACAGGUGGAAGCAAUUUACCUGUGGGACCGGAUAGGGCUGAGCUUGGCUCCACCCCUCCCUGCCCAUAUUUAAGGGCUGGGAACAGCAAGGGCAGCAUUCUGCUUGGGAACUGCCUCCUUGGGAGUGUUGGGAGUGAGUUCUGCUCUUUGGAAUGGGUGCUGACAGAUGUAAGGGUAAUGUUGAUCUCUGGAGACUGUCUCCUGUGGAGCAGGGUAUCCUGACCACUUUUAAGGGGUGGAAGCCAUAAGGGCAGCAUCUGUACCUGGAGACUACUUCCUUGGCAGUGUCAGCUGAGCGUUCAUCUUUGGAAUGGGCUCUGCAGCUCUGGUCCCCAACAGCGUGAUGAAGUGAAGCCCCUGGUCUGCUGAAUACUGGGACUGGCCCAGAGAGGCUCUGUGACGGAUGUGGAUUAUCCCAGCUGGAGUACCUGGUACCAUUGGUGGUGAUCUCGUCCAACUGCCACACAACGAACAGGAACAUCCACAGCCAGAUCAGGUCGCCCGGAGGCUGACCCAGCCUCACCUUGGAAGGGACAGGGCAUCCAUCACAUGUCUGGGGACUUCACCUGACUGCCUCAACUUCUCAAAUACCACUGACAGUGGCUCAGCGACUGCAGCACUGAAUUCCCUCAGAAGUCUGGGACUCGUCUCAUCAGGACCCAAAGACUCCUGGAUGUUCAGGUCCUC